rnacentral:tRNA from 2 species
GCAGAGGUUGCCCAGCUUGGUCAAAGGCGCUGGGAUGAGGUCCCAGUACAUACCGUUUCGCAGGUUCAAAUCCUGCCCUCUGCA